AACGAACGCUGGCGGCAGGCUUAACACAUGCAAGUCGAGCGCAUCCUUCGCGGUGGGCGGCAGACGGGUGAGUAACGCGUGGGAACGUACCCUUUCCUACGGAAUAGCUCCGGGAAACUGGAAUUAAUACCGUAUACGCCCUUAGGGGGAAAGAUUUAUCGGGGAAGGAUCGGCCCGCGUUGGAUUAGCUAGUUGGUGGGGUAAAGGCCUACCAAGGCGACGAUCCAUAGCUGGUCUGAGAGGAUGAUCAGCCACAUUGGGACUGAGACACGGCCCAAACUCCUACGGGAGGCAGCGGUGGGGAGUAUUGGACAAUGGGCGCAAGCCUGAUCCAGCCAUGCCGCGUGAGUGAUGAAGGCCUUAGGGUUGUAAAGCUCUUUCAGUAGGGAAGAUAAUGACGGUACCUACAGAAGAAGCCCCGGCUAACUUCGUGCCAGCCGCCGCAGUAA
rnacentral:rRNA from 1 species